UUUUCUCCUUCACACGACUGCUUCUCUCAUCUUCUUCCCAGGCGAUUUCUGAAACUCUUCUUCCAUUAAUUUCUAAAACUCUUUGUCUGUCAAUUUGGUAGGGUUUAUGCCUUAAUCAAACUGUUCUCUAUUUAGUUAAUUCAGCUUCUAUGCUUUGCUUCGUGCCUCGGCUGAAUAGUUGUACCUGUCAAAGAGCACAGCCAUUGAAGCGACGAUGUUAUCAUCAAGAUUUUCGUUUUUGGAGAUCGGCAGUUCCAACUUCGAUUCCAUUUGAUGACGAGAAGAAGGUUCAAUUUCCAACGACGACGGUGGCAACUUCGAUUCUCGAUGUGGUUUUGUUCAUCUGGGUUUGUAUUUCUAUACAUCUUUAUGAGAUGCUUUCUGAUUUACCACUGUUUUAUUGUUGAUGCUUUCUGAUUUCUCUGAUUUUUCGUUUUGUUAGAUAGCUCUGUAAAUCAUUUGUGAAUAUUUUACAUUGUUUAAGGCCCUAAUUGUGGAUUAUAGACGUGGAAUUUUGGAUUGUGUAGUUGUGUUUCCCUACUUAUGAUGUUGAGGCUUACUGAUUCUCUCACCUUAUAGAAGUGAUGAGCUCGUUUGAUAGAUGUUAGCUGGGACUGGACAAAGAUUGGUCGCUUGCAUUGUCUAUAUCCUUGGUGGGAAGAUGCAACUGUUAGUUUUAUGACAAGCGGAGGAUACAACGUUACUUCUCUUAUAAAAAAGGUUUCACAGAAGACACUGAUACUAUGGGGAGAGGAUGACCAAAUCAUUAGCAACAAGCUAGCUUGGGUUAGCGUUUUCUCUCUCUCUCCACUAAGCAUAUUCAAAUAUCAGACUGUGGACAUCUUCCUCACGUCUAAAAACCAGCCGCUGUCGCUAAACUGAUCACAGAGUGUGAAUCAAAGACGAACCAACUUUAGAUCAGAACCCCAUAGAAACGCUAGUGAUGAGAAACAGAGUGUGAAAACAGAGGAAAUGGCCAAACUAGAAGCACUAUUGCUUGGGUCAAAGCCUCCGGCUGGACCAAACGCAGGAGGAUUCUGAAUUGUAUCCAUUGUAUCCAUGUCUUGUUGAAACUGUUCACAAAGCUUCUUCUGGUUACAUUGCAGCUUAUUUAAUUCAGUUUAUCCAUUAUAUCAAUGUGUUACUUGCAAUGUGUUAUAUUAGAAAAAAUUUGUAAUCUUGAUUUAUAAUAAUUGUGUGUUUACAU